GAUAUCCUAAGAUACUGAUAUCCUAAGAUAUUGAUAUCCUAAGAUAUCAGUAUCUUAGGAUAUCAAUAUCAUAGGAUAUCAAUAUCUUAGGAUAUCAAUAUC